AUCUGGAGAGAGGCGGCGCGAUUUCAGGCAAUCGCGACGUCCACCGAAGGGGAUAGUCCGUUGCGAGAUCCGCAGCGGAUCAAGCUCUCAGGUAACCGUGACAGAU
rnacentral:ncRNA from 2 species